rnacentral:rRNA from 1 species
UACGUAGGGUGCGAGCGUUGUCUGGAAUUACUGGGCGUAAAGAGCUCGUAGGUGGUUUGUCGCGUUGUCCGUGAAAACUCACAACUCAAUUGUGGGCGUGCGGGCGAUACGGGCAGACUGGAGUACUGCAGGGGAGACUGGAAUUCCUGGUGUAGCGGUGGAAUGCGCAGAUAUCAGGAGGAACACCGGUGGCGAAGGCGGGUCUCUGGGCAGUAACUGACGCUGAGGAGCGAAAGCGUGGGGAGCGAACAGG